UACAGAGGUCGCAAGCGUUGUUCGGAUUCAUUGGGCGUAAAGGGUGCGUAGGCGGCGCGGUAAGUCGGGUGUGAAAUCUCGGAGCUUAACUCCGAAACUGCGUUCGAUACUGCCGUGCUUGAGGACUGGAGAGGAGACUGGAAUUUACGGUGUAGCGGUGAAAUGCGUAGAUAUCGUAAGGAAGACCAGUGGCGAAGGCGGGUCUCUGGACAGUAACUGACGCUGAGGCACGAAGGCUAGGGGAGCAAACGGG
rnacentral:rRNA from 1 species